CUCGGUUCCAUCGUCCGCGGUUCCAUCAACUGGGUCAGUAUCGCUCGCACGUGUGCCUCCCUUGUUUCGAGGCAAUCGCGAGAGAGAUCAGGCCGCGAUGAGCGGCACGAUGAAGUGACGAAGCCAGAUGAAACUAGCGAAUUGGCAGAACCUUCGCCGGACGAACGGAGACUGUCCUCUCGCGCGGACCUCGCGGUUGAAUAUGUAAAUCUACCGACUCUCGAAUAACUCGAAGCGAAUCUGUAUCGUUCGAUAUGCUGCAUCCACCAGCUGGAAUCUAAGACGUGUUUAUUCGGAUAUCUCGACCGAGGGAAGAAGACUGGUCAAGAACGGUUUCGAUCGUGCGAACGUGACGCGCUCUCACGCAAUGUGCACGCACGAGUAUCGUAUAGCGAGGCCGAGAGCGUGCUUCGUCGCGAUGUGUCGGAACUUACACAACGCGAUCUCCACGUAGCGCCGCAAAGCUUUUACCGUUUCCCAGCAAUGCGCGAAGAUUAGUUCAACUCGAGAACAAAAUGACGACGGUAACGUCGAUGCAGCGGGAUUGCAUGUCCGUUAUUUUGCAUCAGUCUGGAAUCGGAGGAAAAACGCAUUAGCUGGCGCGUUUCCAGAACGGACCGCGAGAGGUCGGCCUUUCGUAGCGCCUCGCACCGUCCUGCCGAUACGUGCCAAGAACGCGGCCAGGUCGCGUCGCCGCCGUCGCCGCCGCUGGGUUUGAUGACGUAAGAGAAUAAAAGCAGCACAAAGACU